rnacentral:rRNA from 1 species
GAUGAACGCUAGCGGCAGGCUUAAUACAUGCAAGUCGAACGGUAAAUGUUGUAGCAAUAUAGCACGAGAGUGACGUACGGGUGCGUAACACGUAUGCAACCUACCUUGUACAGGAGUAUAGCUCGGGGAAACUCGAAUUAACACUCCAUAAUGUAAUGAUGAGGCAUCUCAUUAUUACUAAAACUCCGGUGGUACAAGAUGGGCAUGCGUCUGAUUAGUUAGUUGGCGGUGUAACGGACCACCAAGACGAUGAUCAGUAGGGGACCUGAGAGGGUGAUCCCCCACACUGGCACUGAGAUACGGGCCAGACUCCUACGGGAGGCAGCAGUAGGGAAUAUUGGUCAAUGGAUGCAAGUCUGAACCAGCCAUGCCGCGUGCAGGAAGAAGGCGUUAUGCGUUGUAAACUGCUUUUGCCAGGGGAUAAAAUGAGCGUGCGCGCUUAAUUGAAGGUACCUGGUGAAUAAGCCACGGCUAACUACGUGCCAGCCGCCGCAGUAA